CAUUUGAUGGGCACCAGUGAGGGUGCUCGUAUCUCUGUCUCUGAUUAUCUGUAUCUCUGUCUGCUUGUCUCUUUCCAUCUCUCUGCUUGUCUCUCUCUCUCUCUCUCUCUGUCUCGGAGAGAGCCACUGUGAACCAACAGUAUUCCUGCCAUAGAAUCCACUGAUUGCAAAAAAAAUGCCAUCAGAAUCACCCUAUUCAGCAACCAGAGGGAUGUGGACAUGAAUGUUAUACAGCAACAUCAUGGAAUCUUGGUACAACCUUCUUGCCUACUCCUGGCCCCUUCCUUGGGUAUGACCUACUUCCACUGGGAAAUCCCACCUACCAGUGAAAAUGCCUUCACCUGCUGUGCCUCCCUUAUCUUAUGCCAGUACAUAAGUGCCAAUCUUCCUGCCCGUGCUUCAGAUUCUUCAAGACUAUGGUACUCGUUACCAACUCCAAGGCUGAGAGACUGAUUACCUCAUCUUUUGUAUAUAGUUCGUCUUCACAUAAUGUCCUUGAAAUGUAGUGAUAAAGCCACUGGAUGGCAAAAAAAAUCUACAAAUAAAGAUACCCAAAUGUUGUAUGUGUGUCUAAGUCUUCAUUCUCUAGGGGUUAUGUAUAGCUCAGCCUAAGCACCAUGAUCUGAGGGAUGACAAAACACACACAUUUUCUGGAUGGCUACCAGAUCUCUUAAGAUAAGAAAAGAUAUUUUAUUUGUACAGAGGUCAAUGACAUUUCAUACCACGGGCGGGAUUUGAACCCACGGUCAGAGAGUCUCAAAACUCCCGACCAUCGCAUUAGCCACUGGACCAGUGAGUCAAUGACAUUUAAAUGUGCAUGUAGAAAGCCCCUUAAUAUGCAGAGUAUUUUGAGUAAACUUAAAACUUGAAAUUAAUAAGGAAAUGACAAACUUGAGUAUUUUUAUAUACAUUUAGAAGUUACAAUGAAUACAAGAAAAUUAAAUAUCCUAUUAGUACAGAUUCACAUCCCUUUAUCCAAAAUUCUGAAAUUCAAUAAGUUCCGAAAACUGAAGUUAUUUCAUGGAGUGUGGAGCGCCAGUCAUCUCCAUGCUGGGUCAUGCCACCAUGUGGUGGCAUUGAGAAUCAUUGUGAAAUUCAAAAAAGUCUGAAAUUUGAAACAAUACAGGCCUCACAGGUUCCAUAUAAAGGGAUGUGCACCGGUACAUGCUAUAUGUGUUUUAUCAAGUUUAACUGCUUGUAGAAUUACAGGUUUGAUUAUGAUCACAAGUAAUGAGGAUUCUAGCAUAUUAGCAUAAUGGGGACACAAUGUUUUAAUGGUUGUGAGGAUUACAGAUAUUAAGAAUAAGAUUAUACAGUUUUUCAAUAUGUCUGUGACAAUGAGAAUAUGGAUAUAUAGUUGUCACAUAUUUAGCUGAUGUUAUAAUAUGUUAGGGAGAGGUGUUUUUGAAUGGUAGUUUUGAAGAUGCCAGCCGAGAUGAUGGCUUUGGAGAUUUCCGGCAGUUUUUUCCAGAUUUUGGGCCCUUUUAUGUACAAUGAAUUUUUAGGGAUUUAGCCACCAGUUUUCCCCACUGCCACCUUGCUGACAAAAAGUUUGCUGACAUUAUGCAGAUAUGCCCUCUCUUGAUCCAGUAUCAAUUCUACACAGUUUAUGCCUGUGACUGAGAUAGAAGUCACACAUGUAAAAGGUGUAAGAAAAAGCCCUAAGCCACUAAUCACUGAACCUUAUCUAUUAAUAUCAGUUAAGGGUUACAAGGAUCACUUUCUCUAUAACCUGGUCUCAGACCAGACCUAAAUUAGAGAAAAUAUUACAGCGACAAGUGUAUGUGGGAUAUGAAAUUUAUCCGGUUUUAAAAUUUUAGAUCAUUAUUAUUUCCUUAAUAAUCCACCAAGUUAUUAAACAAAGUUUUUUUUGAACCAGAUCAAUCUGACUAGGUCACACAAGCUGUCCCUACCUGCCAGCCAGUGUUCAGUCACAUCAUGUGUCAUAUUGAUGAUGCAUGGGUAAUGAGAGCCUUUCACAACUUCUUGAAGAGGUGGGGUAUGGGAGAGUUAUUUUGACAGGUCUAGGGUGGAGAAAACAUAGAAGCAAAGUCUAUAUAAAGGGGCACAAGCAUGUAGCUCGCCCUACUUAGCUGAUGGUCUCAUUGGCCUCAUGACUUAGGCAUGGCUCUGGAAUUCAGAGUAAGACUGCUGUUUGUAGGCCUUUAGUACCUGACCUCUAUAUUUUGCCUGUUCUGAUAAGGUUUAUUACUAAAGUGCUGGUGUGUGUGUUCCUAUAAUUGGCAUACUUAUUUUUUAAUAAUAAUGACAUGAAAAAGA